rnacentral:lncRNA from 1 species
AUUAUUUUGUCAGAAGCAUGCACAUAUCAAGAUAGGCCCAUUAAAAAACAAGUACAACAAAAUACAAUAUUGCAAAUAAACUAUAUAUUUCAUUUCAGUAACACAUCACAUGAAAUACAAUACAUCAUCCAAUGUCUACUCUAUACACCAAGGUUCAAGGCCCAACAAGUGAAUACCAAAAUGAUUCUAAAAGUGCACAUAAAAAUAGUUCUAUAUGUGCAAGUGAACAACAAAAGGAUCCAACAAGUGCACAAGCGCACAACAACAUAGUUCUACAAAGAUUGGACGAGAAGCACAAGUUUUAAGUUAUCACACAUAACGUCAAUGAGAAACGAAGCUUCUUGUGCCCUCCUUCUACCCUCCACUUCUUCUGAGUGACUCAGAUCAUCAUGGUAAUAGGAAUAAUCAAACAUAAGAAAGCACACAAAAUAUGAGCAAAAGAAAGACAAAUGGUGAUUUGCAUUCAGCAGUGAGACUUAAAAGUUCACAUCAAUGAACAUAAACACAAGACAUUAAGACAUACUCCCAUAGAAAUUUCAGGACUUGCAAGAUUAUUCGUGUGUUAGCUCUGAACACUUUGUGCAAAAAAGCUCACAUCAAGAACUUCCAAGAUCAAGAUAUGUGAAUAGUGUAUCUUUAACACAGUAUAAUAAACACCACAACCAUGAGCAGUACAACACAACACAACUCAUAAACAACCAAACCAAACUGAUAGCAAACUACUCCCUCUGUCCCAUAAUAUAAAAGCGUGUUUUACGAUACACUAGUGUCAAAAACACUCUUAUAUUAUGGGACGGAGGGAGUAUAAGUUAACCUCAAUGCAAACAACACAUGCACACAAAGUAUACAUGG